ensembl:lncRNA
CCAGGAUAUUGCUGCAAAGGUAUGCUGGGGAGGGUGGAUUCUGGCUCCCACACUUUAGAGAGCUCUGCAAGGUGAGGUCAGUCCCCGCCUGCCAAUGAAGCGACUCCUAAUUACUCAGGAAUGCUCAGCCUGGGCUGGCUGGCACACAGGGCAAUAAAUCUUAGUGGAAAGACCAGACACCUGGUUUUCAGAUCAGGAUGAAUUUUCUAGGUCUAGUUAAAUUAAUUGUCUUGUUUCUCAAUCUUCACACAAUCUUUGGAGAACAAGUACAACCUAAAUUAUGAGACCAGGCAUUGAUUUGUGCUUAGCUUUCCUCAGUGGACUGGAGGCGACUGGGGGUUUACAAAGCAAAGCAAGCUAUUGUUAAUGAGAAUACAAUGUAUAUGUGCAAUCACUCCCAUUAUUUACAAUGAUAUCUGAUGGAGCUUACUGUACGUGAUUCUUACAUCCUCCCAUGUGGUGGGUAAACGAUAAAUAGAAGAGAGAAGCUGCAGGGCACAGAGCUGCUCCACUCUCAUCAAGAAACACCUUCAGUCGAGGAGACAGAGAACACCAGAUAAUGUUGGCUUGUUUGCAGGGGUGAUAUUUUUCCCAGUUACUGUCGCUUUCUCUCUGUAGACUUCCUCUUGUCUUAUUGACCAGAAUUAGGACACACGGCCAGUCCUAGCUGCGAAGAAAGCUUGGAAAUUGGAGGGUAAGAUUAUUAUAAGCACUUGGACCAGUCAUGAUCCAUGACCAGGAACUGGGCCCACUGCCACCCACACAAAGUCAUGGUUCCAUCAGCAAGAGAGAAGGGGGAAAUUAGUCAACAAAAGAUGCAGGGCUUACUUGACUAUAACCUACAGAAGAUGGUUUCUCCGGGCAAUGGAAACUGUUGAAUCUGUACCCAAAAGAAGUUUCAAAUCACAGAAAACCUCUCAGAUCCUUCAAUGAUUCAUAUUAACAACUACAGGGAAAAGAAUAAACCUUCUGGAGAUGACAGAAAUGCUUUAAUUUGGGGGCUAUUUCCAGCCCCUGUAUACUUUUUACUCCAUUCAUGCCACAAAACUGAAGGUCUUGUAAUACUGCCUUUGAUUUACGGAAGCAAAAAAAGAUGACAUUGCUGAAAAGACCCAUUCCUCCUGUGCCUCCUCAUGUAGCUCAGUGUUAAG